rnacentral:rRNA from 1 species
GGAAUCUUCCACAAUGGGCGCGAAGCCUGAUGGAGCAACACCGCGUGAGUGAAGAAGGGUUUCGGCUCGUAAAGCUCUGUUGUUAAAGAAGAACACGUAUGAGAGUAACUGUUCAUACGUUGACGGUAUUUAACCAGAAAGUCACGGCUAACUACGUGCCAG